UCCCCUCCCCUCCCUCUCCACUCCUCUCCUCUCCACUUCUCUCCACUCCUCCCCUCCCCUCUCCUCUCCACUCCUCUCCUCUCCUCUCCUCCCCUGUCUUCUCCUCUCCUCUCCUGCCCUCUCCAGUCCUUUCCACUCCUCUCCUCCUCUCCUCUCCUCUCCUCUCCUCUCCUCUCCCCUCCUCUCCUCUCCUCUCCUCUCCCUUCCUCUCCUCCCCUCUCCCCUCCUCUCCUCUCCCUUCCUCUCCUCUCCUCUCCUCCCCUCCCCUCUCCCCUCCCCUCUCCUCUCCACUCCUCUCCUCUCCUCUCCUCCCCUGUCUUCUCCUCUCCUCUCCUGCCCUCUCCAGUCCUUUCCACUCCUCUCCUCCUCUCCUCUCCUCUCCUCUCCUCUCCUCUCCCCUCCUCUCCUCUCCUCUCCUCUCCCCUCCUCUCCUCCCCUCCCCUCCUCUCCUCUCCCUUCCUCUCCUCUCCUCUCCUCCCCUCCCCUCUCCCCUCCUCUCCUCUUCUCCCCCUUCCUCUCCUCACCUUUCCUCUUCUCCCCCUUCCUCUCCUCCCCUCUCCACUCCUCUGGGGAUACAGGCCAACCCACCAGCACCCUGCUCCUCACUUCUCCACUCCUCUCUGCUCCUCUCCACUCCUCUAUUCUCCGCUCUGCUCCUCUCUUCUCCACUCCUCUUUCCUCCCCCCCCCCCCCCCCCCCCCCCCCCCCUCUCCAGUGCUCUGGGGAUACAGGCCAGCCGACCAGCCCCCCCUGACAACUCAUGGUUUGGGUAAAGGGGUGUGUGUGUGUGUGUGUAUGUUGCAUACCCCCCCCCCCCCCAUCAAGCUUGCACACUCACUCUAUGUCUACCUGUCUGUCUCUCUUUCCUGCUGAGGUGCAGAUACACAGGAACAUACUGGCCUCGUCUUCUCAAAGCCAAGACAUAACAUUUGAAUGAAUUCCACUUUCAAUGACAUCCAUGUUAUUUACAAAAACCGCUGCACUGAUAUACCUCAGUGUGUGUGUGUGUGUAUGUGUGUGUGUGUGUGUGGGGGGGUGUGUGUAUGUGUGUAUGUAUUAUAUGAUCAACACCAAACAUAAUGGCAUCAUUGGGAAAGGAAAUAUGGUGGAC
rnacentral:lncRNA from 1 species